GUCGGAGAGAUGAACGAGUUCGAUGAUUAAAAGCAGGGAUUACGAAUGGGAUUGUUCGAGAGUGUUUUUUAAAGAGCCGAGUGUUCGUACACUUUGCGAAGUCAGCAGGCGUGACUAGGCAAGUAUCGAAGGAAGGGUUUUCCUUGUCGAAAAUAAGCCACGUGGGUGAAGGGUAGAAAGAGAAAGAGAGAGAAAUACGGAAGGGGAGAAGCACGCAUAGUUACGAGAAAGGGUGAGUGACUCGAUGUAAAAAGCGGUGUUCUUUCUCUCUUACUCAUACACACACACACACACACACACACGCUCACUCACUCUUGGUCCACCCUCGUUGGUAUCCACCCAUUGUUUCCAUAUUCUCCUCUUUCCUCUCUCUUUCUCCCUCUCUCGCUCUCUAUCUCUCUCUCUCUAUCUCUUUCUGUCUCUGUCUCUUUUUUCAUUGCCCUCCGGAUACAAAAAGAAAGAAAGAAAAUCAAAAGGGACGUCAUUUUUCAGAGUGACGGACGAGCGGGAAACCGCAUACAGGGAGAGUCCUCCAAUUUUAUAUCAUUGUGAUAUCAAAAUUAUUAACUUCUCUUCUUGAUACAUAUAUACAUAUGUCUAUAUAUAUAUGUAUAUAGUGUGUGUGUAAGUGAGCGAGUGGGUGUAUGUAUAUAUAGUAAUAUAGAAUAAUGCCAUUUUUCAAAGUGACAAACGUAUGAGAAACUGCGAAAUAAAAAGAGAGAGAAAGAGAGAGAGAGAAAGUCCUCCAAAUUUUAUAUCAUUUUUAUAUGAAAAUUAUUAACUUCUCUAUUUAUUAAAUGAAUAAUUUCUCUUUUAUAUGCUUAUAUGUAUUUAUAUAGGACAAAUUAAUAUAGACGCAAUGUCAUAUGUGUCAUUGUUAUUAAAUACGCAUUAACGAAGGUGAACUGUUCCGAGAAUAUAAACAGUUCUAAGAAUUUAGCCAAGGACUUUGGAGUUUGUUUAUCAAUACGUAUACGUAAUUGAAAUACCAUUUCAGUCUUCUAUGAGCGAUCGAAGAGACAAGACGUAUAAGAUUCGUUUCUUUUAGAAAUUUUUAAAACGUUUUAGAAUUAUCAUUUAAUAUCGUACAUUAAUAUUAGUUUCGUUAUUAGUAUUAUUUUAUUAACACAUACACACAUAUACAUAUAUACGUAUAGAUAUAUAAGAGUUAUAAUUCGAUAAGAAUAAAUCGAUAAUAUUUUGAUAUCACUUUUGUAUCGUCUUAAAAACAAUUAUCUAUUAACUUUUUCAUUUCAAUUGUUUCAAAAGAAAAGACAAGUAAUACUAUUAAUUAUUAUGGAUGUAAUAUGUAUAUGUGUGUGUAUGUAAAAAGAUAUCAACUUCGAUACGUAGUACCAAUAUACGUGUACAUUUCUAACAGGAUACUUGGAGUUUUUUUUUUCUUUUUUUUUUUUUUUUGGCGGAUCGAUUGCGUUGAAAAUCACGCGUGCGGAACGAAACACAGUUUGGUAGAAGGGGAAAGAGAAGGGUCAACCAAACCUGAUGUUUCUACGUUACUGCAACCCUUUGAUUCGCGUAUCGACUGUCUGCCACUCGUCGAAGGGUGAAACAAAUUUGUUCGACGUUCGACGGGUUCUCGGGGGCCUCGAGGGCAUGGGUAUACUCGCGUGACGUCGAUGGAGAAUCGGUCAGGAAACGUCGGCUAUGGGCACACGAAGAGAAACGAAGGGUGGAGGAAGGACGAAGGAAGAAGAAGAAGAAAAAGAGAGAGAGAGAGAGAGAGAGAGAAAAGGAAGAAGUUGAGGCCGUUACGAGACACAACACAACACACGUCAAAAUGUAUUGGAUAAUCGUACAUUGACGAUGAGAUGCAUUUUGGUCGACCUCGAGACAAGAAAUAAGCGAAGAUCCGGCCGUAUUUUUUUUUUUGUUUUUGUUUUUGCGAAGGUUAUUAUUACGAAAGGAAAAGUUAUAAAUACCUAUUUAAUUUGCACUUCUACAGAAGUAGAGUACCUUUAAUAUCUGGAAGGGAAUAAAUUUGGCCGACAUCCAGAAUAUCCACCUAUUUUUGCGAGAUGCUAUUUUGGACUCGGGCCAUCUAACACAAGAGAUAAAAAAGAAAGAAUGGAAAAAAAAAAAUAAAUGAGAGAGUGAGAGAGAGAGAGAGAGAGAGAGAGAGAGAGAGAACUUCAAUAUAUUAAAAAUCCAAAACUCUACCGAAGCCCUUACAUUCAAUUCACCCAUUUAUUCCCACCCACCUAUCCCCAAUCCCAUUUUCCCAUUAAGAUAGUUAUAAUACAGAUAUAACAGGCAGAAACUUUGCUUCUUAAGAAAAACUGUCCGAGGAAGUUAUGAUUAUGAUCGAGUUUCUUUCUAGUUGGAGUUUAGCUUAACAAACACCACGAUGGCUAACACACCUGACCGACCGGCAUUGGACACUUUAGAAGACCGUGAGGGAAACACGAGAACGUCCUACUUGAAACAAUAACUGUCAGAAUUUAUUAACAUGAAUUUGAAAAGUUUUACGAUAA